rnacentral:rRNA from 1 species
UACGAAGGGGGCUAGCGUUGCUCGGAAUUACUGGGCGUAAAGGGCGCGUAGGCGGGUCGUUUAGUUAGAGGUGAAAGCCCAGGGCUCAACCCUGGAAUUGCCUUUAAUACUGGCGGCCUUGAGUAUGGCAGAGGUGUGUGGAACUCCGAGUGUAGAGGUGAAAUUCGUAGAUAUUCGCAAGAACACCAGUGGCGAAGGCGGCUCACUGGCCCGGUACUGACGCUGAGGUGCGAAGGCGUGGGGAGCAAACAGG